rnacentral:rRNA from 1 species
AGCGAACGUUUGCGGCGGGCCUAACACAUGCAAGUCGAACGGGCUAGCAAUAGUCAGUGGCGCACGGGUGCGUAACACGUGGGUAAUCAACCCUUCAGCUCGGGAUAACGCCUUGAAAGGGGCGCUAAUACCGGAUACGACGCGAGGAGCUUCGGCUGCUCGCGGGAAAGAUUCGCAAGGAUCUCUGAAGGACGAGCCUGCGGCCCAUCAGCUAGUUGGUGAGGUAAGAGCUCACCAAGGCGAAGACGGGUAGCUGGUCUGAGAGGAUGAUCAGCCACACUGGAACUGAGACACGGUCCAGACUCCUACGGGAGGCAGCAGUGGGGAAUAUUGCGCAAUGGGCGAAAGCCUGACGCAGCCACGCCGCGUGAGCGAUGAAGGCCUUCGGUCGUAAAGACUCUGUGGGAGAGGAAGAAUAAAGACCUGUGAAGAGCGGGCCGUUGACGGUAGUACUCCUUAG